rnacentral:rRNA from 1 species
UAGUCCACGCCGUAAACGAUGGUUACUAGCUGUUUGGUUUUCGGACUGAGUGGCUAAGCGAAAGUGAUAAGUAACCCACCUGGGGAGUACGUUCGCAAGAAUGAAACUCAAAGGAAUUGACGGGGGCCCGCACAAGCGGUGGAGCAUGUGGUUUAAUUCGAUGAUACGCGAGGAACCUUACCAGGGCUUAAAUGUAGAUUGACAGGUUUAGAGAUAGACUUUUCUUCGGACAAUUUACAAGGUGCUGCAUGGUUGUCGUCAGCUCGUGCCGUGAGGUGUCAGGUUAAGUCCUAUAACGAGCGCAACCCCUGUUGUUAGUUGCCAGUGAGUAAUGUCGGGAACUCUAACAAGACUGCCCGCGUAAGCGGAGAGGAAGGUGGGGACGACGUCAAAUCAUCAUGGCCUUUAUGCCUAGGGCUACACACGUGCUACAAUGGCAGGUACAGAGGGUUGCGAAGGGGUGACCUGGAGCUAAUCUCAGAAAGCCUGUCCCAGUUCGGAUUGGAGUCUGCAACUCGACU